UACGGAGGGUGCGAGCGUUGUUCGGAGUUACUGGGCGUAAAGGGUGUGUAGGCGGUUGUUUAAGUUUGGUGUGAAAUCUCCCGGCUCAACUGGGAGGGUGCGCCGAAUACUGAAUGACUUGGAGUGCGGGAGAGGUGAGUGGAAUUCCUGGUGUAGCGGUGAAAUGCGUAGAUAUCAGGAGGAACACCGGUGGUGUAGACGGCUCACUGGACCGUAACUGACGCUGAGACACGAAAGCGUGGGUAGCAAACAGG
rnacentral:rRNA from 1 species